AGGAGCCAAUGGGUAUUAAAGAAAAGGGGAAGGGGUUGGAGGCCGAGGAGGAGGAGGCAAGGAGUCAGAUAAAAAAGGAGGAGCCAGUGGGUAUUAAAUGAAAAAUAGGAAAAAUCUGGGAUGCAAUAAUGACGAUGAUGGGAAAUGGCAGAGAAAAAGGAAUGAUGGAAAUUCCUGCACAAAUGGAAUGAUUCAAUAGAUAGGGUGAAAAUCAGGGAUAAAUUGGACGGGGCGGCUUCGAGGUCGCCGAUCGAGUACUUUUUGGCGUGUGCGUGCAGCUAAUUUUUUUUUUUUAUUUAUUUUAUUAAAACAA